AUACGUAGGGGACGAGCGUUGUCCGGAAUUACUGGGCGUAAAGGGCGCGCAGGCGGUAUAUCAAGUCAGCUGUCAAAGACUGGGGCUCAACCCUGGUAUGCGGUUGAAACUGAUAUGCUGGAGUGCUGUAGAGGCAAGUGGAAUUCCCAGUGUAGCGGUGAAAUGCGUAGAUAUUGGGAAGAACACCGGUGGCGAAGGCGAUUUGCUGGGCAGCAACUGACGCUGGGGCGCGAAGGCCAGGGGAGCAAACGGGUUAAGAUACCCCGGUAGUCCACGCCGUAAACGAUGAAUACUAGGUGUAGGGGGUAUCGACUCCCUCUGUGCCGCAGUUAACACAAUAAGUAUUCCGCCUGGGGAGUACGGCCGCAAGGUUGAAACUCAAAGGAAUUGACGGGU
rnacentral:rRNA from 1 species